rnacentral:rRNA from 1 species
GAUGAACGCUGGCGGCGUGCCUAAUACAUGCAAGUCGAGCGAACAGAUGAGGAGCUUGCUCCUCUGACGUUAGCGGCGGACGGGUGAGUAACACGUGGAUAACCCACCUAUAAGACUGGGAUAACUUCGGGAAACCGGAGCUAAUACCGGAUAAUAUAUUGAACCGCAUGGUUCAAUAGUGAAAGACGGUUUUGCUGUCACUUAUAGAUGGAUCCGCGCCGCAUUAGCUAGUUGGUAAGGUAACGGCUUACCAAGGCAACGAUGCGUAGCCGACCUGAGAGGGUGAUCGGCCACACUGGAACUGAGACACGGUCCAGACUCCUACGGGAGGCAGCAGUAGGGAAUCUUCCGCAAUGGGCGAAAGCCUGACGGAGCAACGCCGCGUGAGUGAUGAAGGUCUUCGGAUCGUAAAACUCUGUUAUUAGGGAUGAACAAAUGUGUAAGUAACUAUGCACGUCUUGACGGUACCUAAUCAGAAAGCCACGGCUAACUACGUG